GUAUAUUAAAGUUGUUGCAGUUAAAAAGCUCGUAGUUGAACUUCAGACCUGGCUGGGCGGUCCGCCUAACGGUAUGUACUGUCCGGCUGGGUCUUACCUCUUGGUGAGCCGGCAUGCCCUUCACUGGGUGUGUCGGGGAACCAGGACUUUUACCUUGAGAAAAUUAGAGUGUUCAAAGCAGGCUUAUGCCCGAAUACAUUAGCAUGGAAUAAUAAAAUAGGACGUGCGGUUCUAUUUUGUUGGUUUCUAGAGUCGCCGUAAUGAUUAAUAGGGAUAGUUGGGGGCAUUAGUAUUCCGUUGCUAGAGGUGAAAUUCUUGGAUUUACGGAAGACUAACUAUUGCGAAAGCAUUUGCCAAGGAUGUUUUCAUUAAUCAAGAACGAAGGUUAGGGGAUCGAAAACGAUCAGAUACCGUUGUAGUCUUAACAGUAAACUAUGCCGACUAGGGAUCGGGCGAACUCAAUUUGAUGUGUCGCUCGGCACCUUACGAGAAAUCAAAGUCUUUGGGUUCCUGCGGGGAGUAUGGUC
rnacentral:rRNA from 1 species